UGCAUCAGCGGAAUCAAAACCUGGGCCACCCGCGUGGCAGGCGGGCAUUCUACCACUGUACCACCGAUAC